AUCACGCCCCUGCCCCCCAGUCAUCCCCAGAAGCCAUUCUUCAGAGGCCAGCUGUUGCGAGUCUGUGCCCUGUGACUCUUAGGAGGGAGAGACCGGGCCACUUCCCAACUUCCUGAGGGCAGGUAGUCUAAUCCACCCAACCACUUGAGCACUGGGGAGCUGCCAUCCUUUGUUCGUGGAGGUGCUGUGGGCAAGGGUGGCUCAUGAUCCCUGUACGUUGUGAGUGCUUGUACUUUGGGGUUUCCGGG
rnacentral:lncRNA from 1 species